rnacentral:rRNA from 1 species
AACGAACGCUGGCGGCAUGCCUAACACAUGCAAGUCGAACGAGACCUUCGGGCCUAGUGGCGCACGGCUGCGUAACGCGUGGGAACCUGCCCUUAGGUUCGGAAUACCUCCCCGUAAGGGGUGUUAAUACCGGAUAAUGUCUUCGGACCAAAGAUUUAUCGCCUUUGGGUGGGCCCGCGUUGGAUUGGCUAGUUGGUAGGGUAAAAGCCUAUCAUGGCGACGUUCCAGAGCUGGUCGGAGAGGAGGAUCAGGCAGACUGGGACUGCGACACGGCCCAGACUGCGACGGAAGGCAGCGGUGUGGAGUAUAAGACGAGGAGGCAAAAUGUGAUACAGCCAUGUCGGGUAAGUGAUGAAGGCGGUAGUGUUGUAAAUCUCUUUGAGCCGGGGUGAUAAUGACAGUACCGGGUGAAUAAGCACCGGCUAACUACGUG